GGUGGCCAAGUGGUUAGAGCGUCCGCCUCUGAUGCGGGAGGUCGUGGGUUCGAUCCCCGGCAAAAUCA